UACGUAGGGUGCAAGCGUUGUCCGGAAUUAUUGGGCGUAAAGAGCUCGUAGGCGGCUUGUCGCGUCGGCUGUGAAAACCUGGGGCUCAACCCCGGGCCUGCAGCCGAUACGGGCAAGCUAGAAUUCGGUAGGGGAAACUGGAAUUCCUGGUGUAGCGGUGAAAUGCGCAGAUAUCAGGAGGAACACCGGUGGCGAAGGCGGGUCUCUGGGCCGAUACUGACGCUGAGGAGCGAAAGCGUGGGGAGCGAACAGG
rnacentral:rRNA from 1 species